rnacentral:rRNA from 1 species
GCGAGUGGUGAUAGCAUGUUAAAAGCGCUAGUUCCCAAUAGUUUACUGGAGUUAAGAAACGAUACGUGCGGUUGGUAUUCAGAUGAGUGACCGCCUGGGUAAUCGCGUGCUGCUUUUC